UACAGAGGGGGCAAGCGUUGUUCGGAAUUACUGGGCGUAAAGGGCGCGUAGGCGGCCCGCUAAGUCGAACGUGAAAUCCCCGGGCUCAACCCGGGAACUGCGUCCGAUACUGGCAGGCUUGAAUCCGGGAGAGGGAUGUGGAAUUCCAGGUGUAGCGGUGAAAUGCGUAGAUAUCUGGAGGAACACCGGUGGCGAAGGCGGGUCUCUGGGCCGAUACUGACGCUGAGGAGCGAAAGCGUGGGGAGCGAACAGG
rnacentral:rRNA from 1 species